rnacentral:rRNA from 1 species
CCUACGGGUGGCAGCAGUGGGGGAUAUUGCACAAUGGAGGAAACUCUGAUGCAGCGACGCCGCGUGUGGGAAGACGGUCCUCUGGAUUGUAAACCACUGUCCCCAGGGACGAAGAUGACGGUACCUGGGGAGGAAGCUCCGGCUAACUACGUGCCAGCCGCCGCGGUAAUACGUAGGGGGCGAGCGUUUUCCGGAAUUACUGGGGGUAAAGGGAGCGUAGGCGGUGAUGCAAGUUGGGUGUCAAAACUACCGGCUAAACUGGUAGUCGCACUUAAAACUGCAGCUCUUGAGUGAAGUAGAGGCAGGCGGAAUGCAUAGUGUAGCGGUGAAAUGCGUAGAUAUUAGGAGGAACACCAGUGGCGAAGGCGGCCUGCUGAGCUUUUACUGACGCUGAGGCUCGAAAGUGUGGGGAGCAAACAGGAUUAGAUACCCCGGUAGUC